UAUGAGGUGUAACACUCACUGUGAAGGUC
rnacentral:piRNA from 1 species